AAGCUAACGGGUGGAACCGUGAAGGUCGAAAGAGGGGAUUCAGCCGGCCGGUCUUGGGCGGCGGGUGCGGUACAAGUUGCAUUUCAGUGAGAGGACCCGGCGUAAACGUGUGUUGCCGUGGCCCCGUGCCUGUCGACCUGAGCCCUGUCGGCAUAGUUCUCCCUCGAGUAGUGGUCGUCGCGACCCGCUGGGCGGGCCCCGAGGGCCGCGCCGGACUGGUAGCCUGCACUCUGUUGGAGGCGAUGACCGGCUGCGGUACUGACUGGGCUUGCCCGGCGGUCACUGCAAGGAGGCCGCCUCGCGCGGCCUCUCGCGACGUGAAAGGGAUUGGUAAUCCACCCGACCCGUCUUGAAACACGGACCAAGGAGUCCAACAUGUGCGCGAGUCUAAGGGUGUACUAAAUCCGAAGGCGAAAUGAAAGUGAGCCCCUUGUGGGCAGGCCGAUCCCCUGUCGGCUCGGGGGCCGGAGGCCUUGCGGCGUGAGUUAAUUUCCGCUGUUCGUGCCGUCGGUCGCUGGGUUGGCGGCCGGUUCCUUCCGGGGAGCCGGAGAUGGGGCGCAGGCCGAGGACUUGCCAUUGUGCGGCGCGGGCAACGGGGUUUCGGCCUUUAUCCCGACGUCCGUCGGCAAGUACCUGAGAGCGCAGCCGUUGGGACCCGAAAGAUGGUGAACUAUGCCUGGCGAGGACGAAGCCAGAGGAAACUCUGGUGGAGGUCCGAAGCAGUUCUGACGUGCAAAUCGAUUGUCAGAGCUGGGUAUAGGGGCGAAAGACUAAUCGAACCAUCUAGUAGCUGGUUCCCUCCGAAGUUUCCCUCAGGAUAGCUGGCAUUCAGGAUGAUGAGUUUCAUCCGGUAAAGCGAAUGAUUAGAGGCCUUGGUGGUGCAAUGCCGUCAACCUAUUCUCAAACUUUAAAUGGGUGAGACGUGGAGCUUGCUUGAAACGUGAAGCUCUAUGGUGCAAGAAUCAGAAUGCC
rnacentral:rRNA from 1 species